CAGGAGGAUGAGGAACGGAGAGCAGAAGCAGCGGAGACCCGGAGCAGACAGUGAGGACAGUGAUGGAAAGAAGAAGGAGCCGAUGUCAAUGCCAAAAGCCUAUAAAGCUUCCCAGCGAUCCUGGUAUUGCUGUGGUGGGAAUGAGAAGAUGUCACUGGGAAUGCCUUUGAUUCCCCCUAUCCCAAAGUCAGCAAGACCAUUGGAUGAGGCUCCUCACAGCACUGCAGUGUCUCUCCCAAGCUCUCAGCACCUGUUUUUUCAGAAGACUCUGGAGAUAAGGCCAAGAUCAGGCAGCAGAGGUGAAGAGAAGACCCUUAAACCUCUAGG